GACGAACGCUGGCGGCGUGCUUAACACAUGCAAGUCGAACGGAAAGGCCCUGCUUUUGUGGGGUGCUCGAGUGGCGAACGGGUGAGUAACACGUGAGUAACCUGCCCUUGACUUUGGGAUAACUUCAGGAAACUGGGGCUAAUACCGGAUAGGAGCUCCUGCUGCAUGGUGGGGGUUGGAAAGUUUCGGCGGUUGGGGAUGGACUCGCGGCUUAUCAGCUUGUUGGUGGGGUAGUGGCUUACCAAGGCUUUGACGGGUAGCCGGCCUGAGAGGGUGACCGGCCACAUUGGGACUGAGAUACGGCCCAGACUCCUACGGGAGGCAGCAGUGGGGAAUAUUGAACAAUGGGCGGAAGCCUGAUGCAGAAACGCCGCGUGCGGGAUGAAGGCCUUCGGGUUGUAAACCGCUUUCGCCUGUGACGAAGCGUGAGUGACGGUAAUGGGUAAAGAAGCACCGGCUAACUACGUG
rnacentral:rRNA from 1 species